rnacentral:tRNA from 1 species
GCAAUCUUAGUGUAAUGGCUAUCAUUCAAGCCUUCCAUCAUUCGGUUGUUAGCUUGAGACCCGGGUUCGAUUCCCGGAGGUUGCA